AUUGAACGCUGGCGGCAGGCCUAACACAUGCAAGUCGAGCGGAGCGGCGGACGAGGGAGUAAUGCCUAGGAAUCUGCCUGGUAGUGGGGGAUCACUUCGGGGAGCGGGCGCUAAUACCGCAUACUAUCAGAUGAGCCUAGGUCGGUUUAGCUAGUUGGUGGGGUAAAGGCCUACCAAGGCGACGAUCCGUAACUGGUCUUAGAGGAUGAUCAGUCACACUGGAACUGAGACACGGUCCAGACUCCUACGGGAGGAAGAAGUGGGGAAUAUUGGACAAGGGGCGAAAGCCUGAUGCAGCCAUGCCGCGUGGUGGAAGCAGGCCUUGGGAUUGUAAAGCCCGUUAAGUUGGGAGGCGUUACCAGCAGAGUAAGCACCGGCUAACUUCGUGCCAGCAGCCGCGGUAAUAC
rnacentral:rRNA from 1 species